rnacentral:lncRNA from 1 species
CUUCUAUCUAAAAUAAAUUUGCAGAUUUUGGCACUAUAAAUAAUAAUACUAUCACAGUUACUGGCUAGAACAAUAGACAAUUUAUCCAGGUUGGAAAAAUUUAAAAAGUUUGAGUGUUCUGACAGAAUAAUUUUAAAAAGUUCAUUUCGCAGAUCAUCGUACAACGGACACUCUAACAAGACAUGUUCCUCAGUUUCAACAAUGUUUUUACAAGUUUCGCAAGUCCGUUGUUGCACGGGUAGCCUCUCAAAUCGUCCAGUCUCUAGGCGGAUCGGUGCAACACCACAUCGAAACUGCGCGUAUGCUCUUCUAUGUGAUGGAACUAUAACUUUGUGCAUGUAUUCCUCGGUGUGUAAUG